UAUAUCAGAUUCACUACAGUUGAUUAGGGAGGUGAAAAGCCUAUCUCUGUUUUACGUCUUAUGCCGGCAAAGCCCUUUGCACUGGAGAAGAGUUUCACUGCUAAAGAAGACAUGUUGUGAUGCUUCCAGGGACCAGUUUGUUCAGGCUGAACAAGAUAGACUAUUAUUAAACUGAGCAAACAACUCCAUGUGAACUUGGUAAAGAAAUAAUCCUUUGCAACCACCUUUCUAAUAACCUGGACACAUAAAGAAAUGAGUAUACCUGAAGUGGGGCAGAAACUGGGAAAUGGACAGCACAUACCAAGAAGGAUCAUCUAAGUAUGGCAAAUAUGUUUUCAUAGUGCUUACAACUUACUCCUUUAUGAUCAAUUCCAUGAGGUGCUGGGUGUCAGGUCCCCCUCCCUGUACUGUUCAGCUUUGGACUUUCACAGUAGGGAUUGGUCCUAAGAGUCUAAACUACUGCUUCAUCCGCAUGCUGAUGAUACCCAAGUAUAUGUAUAUUUGACUUCUCUUCAUCUGACCCUAGAGACAACAGUCUCCAAAAUCAUGUGAUAUCUGGUAGAAUUCGUAUCUGGAUGAAAACCAGCUGGCAACAUCUCAACAUGUACAAGAGAGAAGUGGCCCUAAUUGGCAAAAGAAGUGCUUGGAAAAAUCAGUGAAAUCUGCAUAUGAUCCAGGCAUUGGAGAUGUGUGAUCAAUCAUCAUCAAACAUGGCACACAAUUUCAGUGUUUUAAUAGAUUCAUCACUGUCCAUGUGCUUCCAACACUUCCUAAAAUUACAACCUUUGAUCUCAGCUCAGAUGAACAUUUUUCCUUUUCAGGCUGGGGCUUAUUUCAGUCAUCCAUGCUUUUGUGACCACUUAGGCUAACUUGCAGCUAACUGCAAAAGUUAAUUAUAAAAGCCACCUGGAAACUCCAUCUGGGAAAAAUACAGCUGCCUAUCUUCUCAGCUGUGUAAACUGACAAGAGCAUCUUAUUCUUGUACUCCACUUGCACUGACUGCCAGUUAACCACUGAAUGAAAUGGCUCUUUCCUGUUUGUAGCCUGGCAUAUCAUUAGUAUUCACUAGGAAUGUUCAAAUUCUUAGUUCAAGGUUCACAACUCUGAAUGUUUCUAUGAUGAAAUGUAUGUUUAACUGUGUUUAGGGACAACUGUAAGAACUCUCUCUUCAUCUUUACUUUUACCAGAUUCCAUUAAUUUCUGUCAUAGUUGGGGGAUCUAAGUAUACAUCUUAGGAUGUACCAGAGUUCUCAAUACCACUUUGGAAACAAAAUGCUGCAGUCUUUUAAAAUGUCCCAGGUAAGGUGUAUGCGAAUUUGAAUGGCUGAAUCUGUACUGUUCUUUGCCAUAGUAAUGGAGCCUAAGGGAGCUUAUUUAUUUAUUAUCAUUAUAAACUUGUAUUUCAAUAGUGUAUAAAAGCCACCAACCAAGGAUCCAGGUCCCAUUGUGCAUGAUACGGUAUGCACAUAUGACCAAAAUACAGUCCCUUUCUUGAAGAGCCUGCCAUCGAGACAUAGGAUGAAAAUUAACAGGUAGAUUCAACAGAGUUUGGGGAUCCCAAGGUAAUA